rnacentral:lncRNA from 10 species
CAUCAUCAUUAUCUCCAUUCCUUUAUUAUUAUUAUUAUUAUACUUUAAGUUUUAGGGUACAUGUGCACAAUGUGCAGGUUAGUUACAUAUGUAUACAUGUGCCAUGCUGGUGUGCUGCACCCAUUAACUCGUCAAUUAGCAUUAGGUAUAUCUACUAAAGCUAUCCCUCCCCCCUCCCCCCACCCCACAACAGUCCCCAGAGUGUGAAUUUUCUUAAUCCAGUCUAUCAUUGUUGGACAUUUGGGUUGGUUCCAAGUCUUUGCUAUUGUGAAUAGUUGAUUCUUCCUACCCAUGAGCAUGGAAUGUUCUUCCAUUUGUUUGUAUCCUCUUUUAUUUCCUUGAGCAGUGGUUUGUAGUUCUCCUUGAAGAGGUCCUUCACGUCCCUUGUAAGUUGGAUUCCUGGGUAUUUUAUUCUCUUUGAAGCAAUUGUGAAUGGGAGUUCACUCAUGAUUUGGCUCUCUGUUUGUCUGUUAUUGGUGUAUAAGAAUGCUUGUGAUUUUUGUACAUUGAUUUUGUAUCCUGAGACUUUGCUGAAGUUGCUUAUCAGCUUAAGGAGAUUUUGGGCUGAGACAAUGGGGUUUUCUAG